rnacentral:rRNA from 1 species
UACGGAGGGGGCUAGCGUUGUUCGGAAUUACUGGGCGUAAAGCGCACGUAGGCGGCUUUGUAAGUUAGAGGUGAAAGCCCAGGGCUCAACCCUGGAAUUGCCUUUAAGACUGCAUCGCUUGAACAUCGGAGAGGUAAGUGGAAUUCCGAGUGUAGAGGUGAAAUUCGUAGAUAUUGGCUGGAACACCGGUGGCGAAAGCGGCUCUCUGGCCCGGUUCUGACGCUGAGGCGCGAAAGCGUGGGGAGCAAACAGG